GACGAACGCUGGCGGCGUGCUUAACACAUGCAAGUCGAGCGGUAAGGCCCUUUCGGGGGUACACGAGCGGCGAACGGGUGAGUAACACGUGGGUGACCUGCCCUCAGCUCUGGGAUAAGCCUGGGAAACCGGGUCUAAUACCGGAUAUGACUCCAUGACGCAUGUUGUGGGGUGGAAAGCCUUGUGCGGCUGAGGAUGGGCCCGCGGCCUAUCAGCUUGUUGGUGGGGUGANGGCCUACCAAGGCGACGACGGGUAGCCGGCCUGAGAGGGCGACCGGCCACACUGGGACUGAGACACGGCCCAGACUCCUACGGGAGGCAGCAGUGGGGAAUCUUGCGCAAUGGGCGAAAGCCUGACGCAGCGACGCCGCGUGAGGGAUGACGGCCUGGUCGUAACAAC
rnacentral:rRNA from 1 species